UAUUUCUAUGUUUCUAUCUCUCCUACUUGACCAUGGUAUCUUCUUGAAGGCCAGGAAGAGUCUUAUUCACCUGUAUUUUAUUGACGUUUGUUGAAUGAGCUCAUGAAUGCCUAAGGGACAACAAUGUGCUUUCAAGAUUUCAUCUAUCCUAAGUCCAAGGUUGACACUACAAUAUGUGGCAAGGCCUGGGGAUUGGGCCAAUACUCCAUAGAGGCCAUCAGAACAGCACUGUUAUGGAAUAAAAUUCUCUAAGGGAGAAGGACGUGAGAAUUUGGAAACUGGAAAAGUAAGAGUUGCCUCAGUUCCAACUCUGUUCAGUCGUCAUGACUUUGGCACUGGAAGAUGACAUGACAAUUUGUACCAAAAAAUAAAUUACCAGUUUUGUAUAAUCUUUGGUGAAGACUUGCCAGCUCUACCGACUCUACAGAUCUUUUUCACAUUUCAGCCAAUGCAAUCUGCCAGGGAAUGUGUACUGAGUGACACAUCACGUAGCUAAAAAUAAAGCAGCA
rnacentral:lncRNA from 1 species